CCAAUUCCGCUGGAUGGGGAGUUGGGGAGCGUGCGGCUGAGGGUCUGGGAUGCAGGGAAGGAGGGGGAAAGGGAGAUGUGUGAUGGAGAAGGGGGAUGUUCCAGUUUGUGAUUUUGGGGGUUCUGCCUGUGCAGCCACAGGAGCUGCCCUGAAUCCUCUCUCUGUCCCCAUCCAGGUCUCCCGGGGGUGCUCCUGAGCCUCUCCUGCCCCAGGGGAUGCCCCAGUUCACCUUCGCUUGCUUCUGCGGGCUCCAUGGCUUCUGCAAGAUGAAGAGGAAGAAAGAAGAGUCCAGCGCCGAGCAGGAGACGGCAGUGUGAGGAGCAGAGUCGUGUGUGUGCCCCGCUGAGCUGUGCCUCGGGACCCCCCGUCCCCUUCCCCUCGGUAUGCUGGGACUGCCCGGGGUGGGGGGGACGUUUACUGCCUCCUUUCUUCUCACCUCUCCAAGGACCAGCUCCCCGCUGGGCAUCACCCUCUGCCAGUGCUCUCUUGGGGUGUCUCAGGGGGCCGGGAUGAUGUGCCUGGGAUGGGGCAGGGGAGCCUGGGGCUGAGCAAUGGUUUUGCUCAUCGAUAGCAGCAGCGGGAUGGGGAGAGUGUGGGGGGAGCUGGUUAAUCUGCUCAAACACACUUGUCCUGCAGCUUCUCCCAUUCUCUCUCCCCUCCCUCUUCCCAGAUACUUGCAUGGCUGGGGGAGAGCCCGAGCAUGGGAAUGACCUUGCCGAGAUGAUGUAGAAGCAGGUGCUGUGGAUGUUAUCAAGGUGCUGCACCAAUUCUACCCCCUGACACCCAGCCCGGCCAGGCACGGAGCCCUGGGGACCUGAGCAGCCACUGUCGGAGGGACCCUGGGUCCCAGCCGGGUAGAGGUUUCCCUCCUGAGCGAGCCGACCUGCCCUUGCUCCAACAAGUCUCAACAGACAGACCUGGAGAGGUUUCCAAAAGCUGGGGCCAGCCCUUGUCCCUCCUGGAGUCGUGGUGCCGGAGAGGCUGGUCCCUGGCUGCUAUCACCUGAAAAUCACCGCCUUUUCUCCCUUGCGAGGGCAGGAUUUUUUCCCAGCUGCUCGACGUUCCCGUGCUGACCCGCUGCCCUCCUGGGGGAUUGCGCAGAGAAAUACCGAGGGCAGCCUGAUAAAAUCUGCAGGGUCACGGUCCGGCUCCAUCCUCCCAGCCCGUCCCUGCUCGCCUCUGCCUUCCAAAAACAACCGGUCUUUGUGGCUGCCCCAAAACACGGUGUUUUCCAGAAGGUUGCUGGGAGGACGGAGCACAGGCAGUCACAGGCAGCUCCAGGUGGGCACGGGGAAGCUCACGCUGCUUUGGGAAAAUGCUGACCUUGUUCUAUUCCUAUUUUUGCACAUCAGCACAGCCUCCCGAAUUCAGGGUUUGCAGCCCCGGUGCUGUCCUUGGCGAGGACCUUUGGAGUUAUCUUUGGGCCAAAAAAAAAAAAAAAAAAAAGAAGGAAGUCAGUGAAACACGAAGCGUAUUUCUUGAAUGUAACUUUAUUUUUGCACAGUCUCCCCUGUACCGUGUGGUGACCCUGCGAGUGAUGCACUCGUGGACUUCAACCACCGGGGAUUAACCACUGCCCUGGAGUUUAUUCCAAGUGUAAAGAUAUGGGUGAAACUCAACCUUUGCUUUAUGCUGGUAUAAAUCCAGAGAGACAGUCUGUGUACUGAGGUGUCUACA
rnacentral:lncRNA from 1 species